rfam:Exidia glandulosa HHB12029 unplaced genomic scaffold EXIGLscaffold_138, whole genome shotgun sequence.
GGCCACGUGGCGUAAUGGCAACGCGUCUCCUUCCUAAGGUGAAGAUUGCAGGUUCGAUCCCUGCCGUGGUCA